GAGUUCAGGAGCGGAGGAGGAAGGGUCUGAGGACGAGGCUGAUGACAGGAGGAAGGUGACAUCAGGAUUAUUUGAUCAAGAAACAGCAGGUGGAACAGGCUUACUGCCUGGGUCACAGAAGAAGAAGGAACAUCUGAUGGAGUCACAGCAGAGUCUACUUGAAGACACCACCAGAGCUCACUCUACCCUGGACGACGUCCUGCAGGAGUUUGAAUGUGAGGAGGAAAGAGAGAGUCCAGGAGCCCGAAGAGACGGCAAAAUCCUGUGUGCACUGUUUGAGGGACAGACUGGUGACCAUGAAGAACACUCAGCAGGACAGAGACACAGUCAACAGCAGUAAUGGAGGAGUGUCGGGGCAGGACGGACACUAAAUGUUCUCUAAAUGUUUAAUUUGUUAAAGUUCCAUUAAUAUUCUGUUCGUUGUAAAU